AGUGAACGCUGGCGGUAGGCCUAACACAUGCAAGUCGAACGGCAGCACAGUAAGAGCUUGCUCUUACGGGUGGCGAGUGGCGGACGGGUGAGGAAUACAUCGGAAUCUACUUUUUCGUGGGGGAUAACGUAGGGAAACUUACGCUAAUACCGCAUACGACCUACGGGUGAAAGCAGGGGAUCUUCGGACCUUGCGCGAUUGAAUGAGCUGAUGUCGGAUUAGCUAGUUGGCGGGGUAAAGGCCCACCAAGGCGACGAUCCGUAGCUGGUCUGAGAGGAUGAUCAGCCACACUGGAACUGAGACACGGUCCAGACUCCUACAGGAGGCAGCAGGGGGGAAUAUUGGACAAUGGGCGCAAGCCUGAUCCAGCCAUGCCGCGUGGGUGAAGAAGGCCUUCGGAUUGUAAAGCCCUUUUGUUGGGAAAGAAAAACAGCAGGUUAAUACCCCGCUGUUUUGACGGUACCCAAAGAAUAAGCACCGGCUAACUUCGUG
rnacentral:rRNA from 1 species